GCUAUGGAGUGUUAUACAAACUAAAGUAGAUUAGGCAAAAUAGGACACAACGAAGUAGUGA
rnacentral:sRNA from 19 species